UACGAACUGUGCAAACGUUAUUCGGAAUCACUGGGCUUAAAGGGUGCGUAGGCGGCGCGGUAAGUCGGGUGUGAAAUCUCGGAGCUUAACUCCGAAACUGCAUUCGAUACUGCCGUGCUUGAGGACUGGAGAGGAGACUGGAAUUUACGGUGUAGCGGUGAAAUGCGUAGAUAUCGUAAGGAAGACCAGUGGCGAAGGCAGGUCUCUGGGCUGACACUGACGCUCAUGCACGAAAGCGUGGGGAGCAAACAGG
rnacentral:rRNA from 1 species